CCUACGGGUGGCAGCAGUGAGGAAUAUUGGUCAAUGGACGAGAGUCUGAACCAGCCAAGUAGCGUGAAGGAUGACUGCCCUAUGGGUUGUAAACUUCUUUUAUAUGGGAAUAAAACGUUCCACGUGUGGGUUUUUUCAUGUACCAUAUGAAUAAGGAUCGGCUAACUCCGUGCCAGCAGCCGCGGUAAUACGGAGGAUCCGAGCGUUAUCCGGAUUUAUUGGGUUUAAAGGGAGCGUAGAUGGGUUGUUAAGUCAGUUGUGAAAGUUUGCGGCUCAACUGUAACAUUGCAGUGGAAACUGGCAGUCUUGAGUACAGUAGAGGUGGACGGAAUUCGUGGUGUAGCGGUGAAAUGCUUAGAUAUCAGGAAGAACUCCGAUUGCGAAAGCAGUUCACUGGACUGCAACUGACACUGAGGCUCGAAAGUGGGGGUAUCAAACGGGAUUAGAUACCCUUGUAGUC
rnacentral:rRNA from 1 species